CAGAACUGUACUUUCAGGGAUCAUUUCUGUACCUCAUUACUAGAGAAGUUCCUCUUAACGUGUGGAGCACCAGAAAUCACAAGGAGGAGAGGCAGUGUUCUUUCCGGAGUGUGAAGCUGGCACUUCGUGUUUUGCUGUAACUGCUGUUUGCCAUUCAUUCAUCAUUCUUCUUUUCUUCCAGGAGAGUGAGAGGGAGAGGAUGCUAAAAAAAAGUU
rnacentral:snoRNA from 1 species